GGAGGGAUGCGAGAGCGGACGAAUCGGCACGCCUGGAACGCGUGUGUGGCCCCUGGUCACCGUGGGUUCGAAUCCCACUCCCUCCG
rnacentral:tRNA from 1 species